GCAAUACGGAAUCCACAGACUAUGCUGGCUCUUGCCAACCACAUCAGGAAGGCAUACAGGCUGAAACAUGAUACACUGAAUAUACCAGGUGAGUUUGGGAGGAAAAGGACGAGAAGGACUGAUGAGCAGCGAGAGAGGCAAGCCCUGUUAGCAAGCAAAAGGGACUGAAUCCAGGAGGGGGAAGAAUAAGCAGAAGGAGGAAGUGUGCAGAAUGAAAUGCUGGAAACACUAGCAGACAGAAGGGACCACAUUAUGAAGAAUCUUUCUUCUUGCACAAGAUGAGGAAUUUUCAGCUAAACCUCUUUUAUAAAAUGAAACAACAAAAAUCAGGCAACAUGACAUCUCUUAGCGGAUCUACUUCUGCUGGUAAAAUCUUUGAGCUACACUGGCAAAAGAAUGAGGCUGUGCUGUAGAGCAGAGAUCAAACUGGACAGAAAUGCCAAGGGCAGGUGGAACCACUCCCUCCCGAAAUGAUGCAUUGACAACACCCCGGAUCCACUUGGUCAAACCCCCUCGGGAAGCUUUAAUAAGCCAAGAAGGGCAAGGUUCGAGAGGAGAUGUUGCUGGCCGCAUCAUUGCAAGCACCUUGUCCAUGUCAUCAGGCCACAUAAACUGAAACUGUUCCUAAGAAGUUGCGGCAGAUGUUGCACUGGGGACGACAGUAGUUGGGGACUACAGUAGAUGUGGAUGGGGCAUCAAGAUUGCUACGGAGGGGCUUACUUCCAGGUAAACGGUGCACACUGGAUCGCAGCCUGAGCAAGUCCCUUCAGUGGCGGCUUCCACCCAGGUAAACGGUGCAUGCCGGAUCACAGCUGCUCCGGGCUGCAAAAGCAGGAUUUGGCUCCAGCAGAUUAUGUCAUGUGAGUUUAUCCUAGCCCUCCACCCAAAAGAAAGGAGGAACUGUAUCUUUCUUUCUUUUAAUUGCAAGGGAGCUGAGUGUGGCCACCAUGCCCACUUGGCAGCAGAGGCUUGGGAGUUUUGUAACCGCCGAAUCGGAAGAGGACUCACAGGCCGUGUGUGACUUUUUUACUGGGAAAAACCGCUUGUGGUACAGUAAAGGUGAACCAAUUUAUUAUGACCUUACAGGACUAAAGUCCACUUAAUCCAAUGCGGCACGUUUUGUCCUGAGUUGGUGGUGUAAAUAGCACUCGGGGAGGGGGUGUUGUAAAACCGAGGGAAGUGAAAGGCACACAAGUCCUAUGGACUGCCACAAUUUUGGUAUUAACAGCGGCCACUUCCAGGCCGUUGCUGUUUUGCAAGUGGAGCUCAUUUGCAUGCAGGUAGAUUGAAGAGGUGAGGUUGAAAUGGACUUGGCACCCUUGUGCAACAAGCUCACUUUUAAAGAAAUGGAAUCUUUGCAGUAAGGAAAGUGAGGGGUAAAUGCCCUGGAAGCAAUUGUUUGACAUGGUAUAUAAAUGAAAUAAAUAAAUAAAUGAUGUAGUCUCCAGGCAAACAAUGCUCAGUUAAAUGCGAGGUGUAACUUUGCCAGAAACUUUGUGCAAGCAGAUGAGGAUAAAGGCUCAAUAAACAGGUCUGGAAUGAACCAGUCACAGUGUAGGUGAUAUUGAUAACACAAACAUCCUAGCAUCGGUAAGUUAAUUAACUUACAGUACUGUGAUAAGAAAUCACUAUUCUGAUUCAAACCACAAGUGAUAGCAUUCAUUCCCGCCAUAAAUUGCAAUUCACCGGUUUCAUGUUAUAGCCUUCCACUGAAGUCUUGUUGUUUAAGAAUGGCUACCUUAAGGUUAGUGGCAAAGAGUCCUGGGAGGUUGAACAGUGGAGGCUGGUACAUUUGAGUGAAUGGGGCACUGCCCCACCAUCUUCAGUCUGUCCUCAGCCAGUCCCCAGCUGCCUGUCCUCUUACUUACUAAACUAGCCCAAUGGGUGGACCUGCCUGUCAGCUUCCUCCUCAAUCUCAUUUUUGCCCUUGUUGAAGUAAGCAGGAAAUGCAAUAGGGACAAAACUCGAAUGAGUUGGCUCUGCCUGUCAUUGGCUCUAGCUCCACCCAUCAUUGACUCUAGUUUCCCCACCUUUCCUCCUUCCAUACACACAGCUCAGACUCUGUGCUGUUAGCUACUCUGCCAAUGUCUAUUCUAGGGUAAAUUACAGGGCUGUACUUGAAGUAACCUUUGUGCAUCUACUCUUGUUGCCAUUAUUAUUAUUAUCAUUAUUGUUGUUAUUGCGAUUAGGAUUACAAUAAUAUAUUGUUACAACAGUAUAAAAACACAGUAUUAAAAACAUAAGUACCACUGCAUCAUUUUUCUUAAUUCAUUUUUUGUUUACGUUGUGAUAAUUUCAUUUUAAUUUCGUAGAUCUAUCUAUAAUUUAUUAUUAUUAUUUUAGAUAUCUAUAAUGAAUGCAAGUUGAGAUCGAGAUAAAGACAGAAAAUACAAAAGUGGUGCUCAUAAGAGAAAAAAGGCUGAGAAGAAAAUAGAAAUAGAAAGAGAGAGAAUGUGAGGGGCCCCCAACUAUGCUUUUGCCCCGGGCCCCGCACAUACUAAGGGCGGGCCUGCCCCUGACAAUAUGGAAAAGCUCCACUGGACGGCUACUUGAGGAUGCGAUGGAGGCAGAGAAGUGGGCCUUCUUCACUGCCCUCACCACCGCACAGUAGGCAUGGUUAUGAUGUUUUACUUGUGCCUGAUCAGCCUCACAGCACAUCUUUUGCCAUUUGUGUUCUAGCUGUCAUCCAGCCUGUUUCAUUGCCUUUAGCUCACUGGUGUACUGAGGUGCAAACUGGGCUCCACAAUGCCAGAGAGGGCUCUCAGGGACAACCAUGUCAAGAGCCCUGUCAAGAAUAGCUAACUUUGGUCAAGCUGAAAUGGAUCAACCAGAGAGAAUUCUGGGAGCCUGUGGUUCCCUAGGACUCUCUACUGGGGAAGAUCCAAAGCUCAGUGUCAGACAGUCAAUUUGCAACGUUGCUACGAGGUGCAACUGAUCCUUAGCUGUUAUCCCUUAUCAGCUUCCUGGGAGUAAAAGUCAGGAAGAGGGGGUGUUGUAGAUCAGGACCCCUGGGUGAUGCUGUCUAGCUCCCUUAUCUUCAAAGACUUCAAAGGAGUAGAUCCCGGCAGGGGCGGAAUAUGGCCAUUUGCUUUCCCCCCUCCUUGUUAACCGAUAAGCACCAUAAAAAUGAAGGAUGCUCCUUCAGGCGUGGUUCCCCUAUUUCCAUCUACCUCGACUCACUGAAGUGGGACAGAGAAGCCUUUUGGGAACCAGGCAACUCUGCAGUAAGUAUAGGAUCUUAGCUUAGAUAGACUUUUGUUGUAUUCCUUUGUCUGUAUUGAACCUCUCCCCUGCGUUAUGUCAAUGUACCUCGUGUAACCCAUCUGAGGGUGAUUAGCUUUGGGGAAACAAACCACUG